rnacentral:tRNA from 1 species
GCAGAGGUGGCGGAAUGGCAUACGCAGCUGUCUUAGAAGCAGUUUUUUGAGAGUUCGAAUCUCUCUCUCUGUAC